rnacentral:rRNA from 1 species
UACGUAGGGUCCAAGCGUUGUCCGGAAUUAUUGGGCGUAAAGAGCUCGUAGGCGGUCUGUUGCGUCGGUUGUGAAACCCUGGGGCUCAACUCCAGGCCUGCAAUCGAUACGGGCAGACUAGAGUUCGGUAGGGGAGACUGGAAUUCCUGGUGUAGCGGUGAAAUGCGCAGAUAUCAGGAGGAACACCGGUGGCGAAGGCGGGUCUCUGGGCCGAAACUGACGCUGAGGAGCGAAAGCGUGGGGAGCAAACCGG